CCUACGGGUGGCAGCAGUGAGGAAUAUUGGUCAAUGGACGCGAGUCUGAACCAGCCAAGUAGCGUGAAGGAUGACUGCCCUAUGGGUUGUAAACUUCUUUUAUAUGGGAAUAAAAUGUUCCACGUGUGGGCUUUUGUAUGUACCCUAUGAAUAAGGAUCGGCUAACUCCGUGCCAGCAGCCGCGGUAAUACGGAGGAUCCGAGCGUUAUCCGGAUUUAUUGGGUUUAAAGGGAGCGUAGGUGGAUUGUUAAGUCAGUUGUGAAAGUUUGCGGCUCAAACGUAAAAUUGCAGUUGAAACUGGAAGUCUUGAGUACAGUAGAGGUGGGCGGAAUUCGUGGUGUAGCGGUGAAAUGCUUAGAUAUCACGAAGAACUCCGAUUGCGAAGGCAGCUCACUGGACUGCAACUGACACUGAGGCUCGAAAGUGUGGGUAUCAAACAGGAUUAGAUACCCUAGUAGUC
rnacentral:rRNA from 1 species